GAUGAAGAACGCAGCGAAAUGCGAUACGUAGUGUGAAUUGCAGAAUUCAGUGAAUCAUCGAAUCUUUGAACGCACAUUGCGCCCUUUGGUAUUCCAAAGGGCAUGCCUGUUCGAGCGUCAUUUGUACCCUCAAGCUUUGCUUGGUGUUGGGCGUCUUGUCUCCAGUCCGCGGGAGACUCGCCUUAAAGUCAUUGGCAGCCGGCCUACUGGUUUCGGAGCGCAGCACAAGUCGCACUCUUUUCCAGCCAAGGUCAGUGUCCAACAAGCCUUUUUUCAACUUUUGACCUCGGAUCAGGUAGGGAUACCCGCUGAACUUAAGCAUAUCAAUAAGCGGAGGA
rnacentral:misc_RNA from 1 species